AAUGAACGCUGGCGGCAUGCCUUACACAUGCAAGUCGAACGGCAGCAUGACCUAGCUUGCUAGGUUGAUGGCGAGUGGCGAACGGGUGAGUAAUGAAUCGGAACGUGCCUUUUAGUGGGGGAUAACGUAGCGAAAGUUACGCUAAUACCGCAUAUUCUCUGAGGAGGAAAGCAGGGGACUUUCGGGCCUUGCGCUAGAAGAGCGGCCGAUGUCGGAUUAGCUAGUUGGUGAGGUAAAGGCUCACCAAGGCAACGAUCCGUAGCGGGUCUGAGAGGAUGAUCCGCCACACUGGGACUGAGACACGGCCCAGACUCCUACGGGAGGCAGCAGUGGGGAAUUUUGGACAAUGGGCGCAAGCCUGAUCCAGCCAUGCCGCGUGAGUGAAGAAGGCCUUCGGGUUGUAAAGCUCUUUCGGCUGGGAAGAAAUCGCACCCUCUAAUACAGGGUGUGGAUGACGGUACCAGCAUAAGAAGCACCGGCUAACUACGUG
rnacentral:rRNA from 1 species